rnacentral:rRNA from 1 species
AGCAGCCGCGGUAAUUCCAGCUCCAAUAGCGUAUAUUAAAGUUGUUGCAGUUAAAAAGCUCGUAGUUGAAUUUCGGGGUUAGUAGGUUGGUCGUGCCACUGGUACGUACUGGUCUCACUGAUUCCUCCUUCCUGAUGAACUGUAAUGCCAUUAAUUUGGUGUUGCAGGGAAACUGGACUGUUACUUUGAAAAAUUAGAGUGUUUAAAGCAAGCUAACGCUUGAAUACAUUAGCAUGGAAUAAUGAAAUAGGACGUUCGAUCCUAUUUUGUUGGUUUCUAGGAUUGACGUAAUGAUUAAUAGGGAUAGUUGGGGGCAUUAGUAUUCAAUUGUCAGAGGUGAAAUUCUUGGAUUUAUUGAAGACUAACUACUGCGAAAGCAUUUGCCAAGGAUGUUUUCAUUAAUUCAUGAACGAAAGUUAGGGGAUCGAAGACGAUCAGAUACCGUCGUAGUCUUAACCAUAAACUAUGCCGACUAGGAAUCAGACGAUGUUAAUUUUUUAAUGACUCGUUUGGCACCUUA